UCCUACGGGGGGCAGCAGUGGGGGAUAUUGCACAAUGGGGGAAACCCUGAUGCAGCGACGCGGCGUGUGGGAAGACGGUCCUCUGGAUUGUAAACCACUGUCCCCAGGGACGAAAAUGACGGUACCUGGGGAGGAAGCUCCGGCUAACUACGUGCCAGCAGCCGCGGUAAUACGUAGGGAGCGAGCGUUGUCCGGAAUUACUGGGUGUAAAGGGAGCGUAGGCGGGGAUGAAAGUUGGGUGUCAAAACUACCGGCUCAACUGGUAGUCGCACUCAAAACUGCAGCUCUUGCGUGAAGUAGAGGCG
rnacentral:rRNA from 1 species